rnacentral:piRNA from 1 species
UCAGUUGGUAGAGUGCUUGUCUAGCAUU